GAAAACAGAAUGACAGAGAAGUUUGGUUAACAUUCUUACUCAAAAGUGCUUAUAUCCCAGCAUUGAUGGCACUGCUGUGCUCAGUACAACUUAUUGUAUUUUAUUUAUUUUCUUCCUAAAUUUAUGUUUCUCUUUAAGAUCCUAAAGCAAAGCAAAAGCCUAAAGUGUGGAAUUUAACUGUCUGCUCCUUUACUAUUUGGGACAAGGGACUGCUAUUCGUUAUUGGCCAUUCAUGUAAAACCAACAGCUCUGAGCCAAGAGGAAAUACUGGUACCAGUCCAGUUCAGGUUUUCAAAUCCUGGAGGUGAACACCAAGUUUCUGGAGAACGUGGGCCAUCCACUAAGAUAAUGGCUGCCUGAAGUAGCAACUGAUUCACCAGGGAAAGAAUGCAAUCACUCUCGUCAGUGCUGACAGGACAGAUAAGUACUAGACGUACAGGGCUAUCUUGCUACAACGGUAGGUUUUACAGCAUACUUUACAGUAAGACAUCUUUCCACUAACAGAGCGACUCAGGGCUCCACCCCUUUAAAGCUGACAUAGUCUGUGGAGCCAGAAUAUUCCCCUAUUGCCUGUUUGAUCAUAGGCUGAGAACAGGAGACACAAAGCAAGCACAUCAGCAAGCAUGGGAGUCUUUUUUGGAAAUUCACUGGGAGAAAAGAGAUAUUUAUAAGAAAACCAGCUUUGCCCUGAGUUGACCUCUCAGGAGAAUUCUUGCCACAACCUUCUCUUCCUACUCAGCAAAGAAAAUAUCCAGAAAAGAGCUGAAAUGGCCACUCCUCAGAUCUUCAUAUGGCUGGCUCCUUGUCAUUCAGGUAAGAGCUUAAACGUCACUUCCUCAGAAAGUUCUUCUUUAACCACCUACUCUAAGAUGGACCUCCAGUCACUCUUUAUUACACCACAUUAAUUUUCUUCACACAAAUGAUUUCUUUGGGAAACCAUCUUUUUAAUGUAUUUACUUAUUGUCUGACUCCUCCACUGCAAUGCAAGGCCCAUGUCUUUCUUUCUGUUGUACCCAGCAUCAACUCUCCAGUACCUAAAAUGGUUACGAUAUCUAGCCACUUAGGAGCUGCAUAAACAUCUACUGAAUAUAUAAAUAAAUAUUUGUUGAGUAUUUAAUCAAAUGAGAUUAUAAUUGUGAAAAUUUUUUAAAAUAAAAUUUUCUAUAGGUUUUUAAAUUUUCUGCUUCUAUUUAAUCACAACCAUGCUGAAAACAAAACUGGUAAGUGAAAAUAACAACAACAGUAAGACAUUAUUACAAAAAGUUACUUUUGAUAUACCAAGCACUGUGCUUACCAACUUUAUUAUAUUUAACCUUCACAACAACCUUAACUUAGAGACUACAAUUAGCUCCACUUAUAAAUGAAGAAGAAACAAGAUUUUGAAAGUUAACAUAUUCAACAUGGCAAAGAAAUGGCAAAGUUGAGACUUCUAAGCUGCGCUCUUGACUACCCUAUUAUACAUCUCCACAUGGAUAUAAAUUGAUCUACUUUUCUAGGGUGAAUUCAACUCUUCAAUUUCUAUACCAUUUGGCAAACACCAUUCUAUAUUACUGUUUUCAAAAGAAUACUACAAGUAACUAAGAUAAAUUACUCUUAAUUUUUAACUUACUCUAACUUUAAAAGCUAAUACAACAAAGUUCCUAUAUCAAAAUGAUUUCUUACAUCAGGCAUCAAUUUGUUGUUGCUUUACAAUUAAAAGUAUAUUCAAAUGCAGUGUACAUCUGAAAGUCUUCUGCAUUCCUAAAGAAUAAAGUAAAUGCCAUCUACAACAUUACGCUUUAUUAAUAAUGUUUCCAGAGUAGUAAGGCUAGAACCACAACUGUAGCAGCACCUGUGUAGAUUAUAAAUGUCACUGACACACAUGUUUAUGGUUUGCAGUUACUUAAGAGGACAAAAGUGUUCUUAAUUUAGGAAGUUGCUAAAGACCCCUAUGUAGGGAGAAGGCUAGUACCAAAUUGUUGUUAAGGCCUCUAGAUGGCACUCUCCUGUUUUCCUUUGGUCUCCACACACCAUUUAGUGCGUAAGAUGACCAAAGCUGAAUGGUGUUCAGUUAAAGGCUUGCUUUAAAACAGACUUUUUUCCAAGGCAAUUUCCUUAAAAGCAAACAACAAUAACAACAAAAUACACACAAAAAAACCAAACCAAAAACACUACCAUAAUAAUUCCUAAUUAGAAGAUAUAUCUAGUUCAUUUCAGGAUCUUGAAACCUCUAUUUGGUCAUCCUUAACCAUUAUUUGGCCUCGGAUGCCUUGAAAAUUCUCCAAAAAAAAAAAAAAAAAAA